AACCUAUAGGUGUUUCUAGCCUAUUCCAAGUCAUAAACGAGCUGUUGUGGUCUGUUCUUGAGCUGUAGCACUGUCCAGAGGCAGGAGAGGCCCCUUUGGAGCAAAUACUAGAUGGCCCAGAUAUCCCAUACACUGCUGAUGCUGCAGAGUAGUGUAGCUUAGUUAUUACUUAUUGUAUAUAACUUAGUCUUCCUUCCUUUUCUUCUUUUUGAAAGACUCUAUUCCUCUUAUAUUUUGGGUGACAGUAUCUUAUAAUACUUCAUCAUACUUCUACUCUUAA